UUUUUAAAAAUAGUCAAUAUUGAAAUUCGGGGAUGAGGAUAGUUAAUGCGUUAGAGAAGUCUAUAAAGAAGACUUACACCAAAUUUCAAGUAAUUCGGUUCAGUAGAACUUGAGAAAUCGUGGGCAUCGUUUUAAAAAAGACAACUUUUCUAAGACAUUCCUAAAAUGACAAUUAA